rnacentral:rRNA from 1 species
UAGGGAAUCUUCCGCAAUGGACGCAAGUCUGACGGAGCAACGCCGCGUGAGUGAAGAAGGAUUUCGGUUCGUAAAACUCUGUUGUUAGAGAAGAACAGCGCAUAGAGUAACUGUUAUGCGUGUGACGGUAUCUAACCAGAAAGCCACGGCUAACUACGUACCAGCAGCCGCGGUAAUACGUAGGUGGCAAGCGUUGUCCGGAUUUAUUGGGCGUAAAGCGAGCGCAGGCGGUCAAUUAAGUCUGAUGUGAAAGCCCCCGGCUCAACCGGGGAGGGUCAUUGGAAACUGGUUGACUUGAGUGCAGAAGAGGAGAGUGGAAUUCCAUGUGUAGCGGUGAAAUGCGUAGAUAUAUGGUGGAACACCAGUGGCGAAGGCGACUCUCUGGUCUGUAACUGACGCUGAGGCUCGAAAGCGUGGGUAGCAAACAGG